AGGAAGAAGCUUGCUUCUUUGCUGACGAGUGGCGGACGGGUGAGUAAUGUCUGGGAAACUGCCUGAUGGAGGGGGAUAACUACUGGAAACGGUAGCUAAUACCGCAUAACGUCGCAAGACCAAAGAGGGGGACCUUCGGGCCUCUUGCCAUCGGAUGUGCCCAGAUGGGAUUAGCUAGUAGGUGGGGUAACGGCUCACCUAGGCGACGAUCCCUAGCUGGUCUGAGAGGAUGACCAGCCACACUGGAACUGAGACACGGUCCAGACUCCUACGGGAGGCAGCAGUGGGGAAUAUUGCACAAUGGGCGCAAGCCUGAUGCAGCCAUGCCGCGUGUAUGAAGAAGGCCUUCGGGUUGUAAAGUACUUUCAGCGGGGAGGAAGGGAGUAAAGUUAAUACCUUUGCUCAUUGACGUUACCCGCAGAAGAAGCACCGGCUAACUCCGUGCCAGCAGCCGCGGUAAUACGGAGGGUGCAAGCGUUAAUCGGAAUUACUGGGCGUAAAGCGCACGCAGGCGGUUUGUUAAGUCAGAUGUGAAAUCCCCGGGCUCAACCUGGGAACUGCAUCUGAUACUGGCAAGCUUGAGUCUCGUAGAGGGGGGUAGAAUUCCAGGUGUAGCGGUGAAAUGCGUAGAGAUCUGGAGGAAUACCGGUGGCGAAAGCGGCCCCCUGGACGAAGACUGACG
rnacentral:rRNA from 1 species